ACGGGAGGCAGCAGUGGGGAAUAUUGGGCAAUGGGCGCAAGCCUGACCCAGCAACGCCGCGUGAAGGAUGAAGGUCUUCGGAUUGUAAACUUCUUUGAUUGGGGAAGAAUAAAUGACCUACCCAAAGAGCAAGCCACGGCUAACUACGUGCCAGCAGCCGCGGUAAUACGUAGGUGGCAAGCGUUAUCCGGAUUUACUGGGUGUAAAGGGCGUGUAGGCGGCUUUGCAAGUCAGAUGUGAAAUUCCUGAGCUCAACGCGGGCGCUGCAUCUGAAGCUGUAAAGCUUGAGUACUGGAGGGGAAAGCGGAAUUCCUAGUGUAGCGGUAAAAUGCAUAGAUAUUAGGAGGAACACCGGUAGCGAAGGCGGCUUUCUGGACAGUAACUGACGCUGAGGCGCGAAAGCGUGGGGAGCAAACAGGAUUAGAUACCCUGGUA
rnacentral:rRNA from 1 species